GUAUUUUUGAAUUAUGUUAUUCAUGAUACUUGUUCAGACAAACUGGUUAAAGGUAGAUUAAUUAAGAGAUCUGCUUUCACAUCUUAAAAGACGCUCAACAGACCCCAACAUUGCACACAAGGUGGGUAUGGAUUUUUAAAGAGUGCCAUAAAACACUCAUUGUGAAUGAUCCUUCCGCAGGUUCACCUACGGAAA
rnacentral:misc_RNA from 1 species